GGUUGAUCACAUGACUCAGGUCAGAGGUUAUCAGUAGCUGGUGCGUUCGCUUCUCGCUUGGAUUGGGAGUGAUCUUUUCGUGCAGGACCAGUCUCAACUCCGUCAUCGGUGGACCAAACCAAACUUCAGGGAGUCUAAUUCGUGCAGAUCUUUCCAUUAACCAACAAACAUGUCUGACGACGAAUCAUACAGGCGAGCUGGGCAGAAUGGAGAAACCGCACCAUCAAGUCGAUUUUCUGCGGGGUUUGACACGCCCAACUCUGAGGAGGAUCGAAUGUCAAGGAUGGAGCGACGAAUCAGAGAAAGACAGCAGAGAUAUAAAAACAUUGUUGCAGAGACGAACCAAGUUAGAAAUGGGUAAAGCUUGAUUUUUGCUCGCUUUUUCUUCAUGUGCAU